CGAAAUUCCUUUAGGUUCAAGAGAAGUGAAGACAGAGUUCAGAUGGUAAAUGGCAAAGUUCGAAAAAAUAUGUGAGUAGAAAUGCAGACCACUUUGGACAGGCGUGGCUCAAAACUGCUUGGUGCUCUCUCCUAAGACAUCAUCUUCUUACACUCCACUGAACAGAAAACCAUCCCUUCUACAGGCAUGAACUUCUGCCCGAUGAGACACUUGCUGCAGCAGGAACACAAAAAGCACUCGGUGGAUGCAUGCCAGCUGAAGUUGUUGUACGUCACCCGCUGCACUUCUGGGUCAAUGGCAUUGUGGCAUCCUUGACACACCUGCUCAGGAGUAACACAGGAAAGUCCAUAAUGAUCCUGAGUAAAUUGAGAAAUAUGAGAAAACAAGUCAGCUACUUAAACAUUUCCCAACAUUAGACACUGAAGAAAUAAAAGGAGAAACUCUACUAUCCAGCUGCUUACAAAGUCUAGGGAAGGAGACAGG